rnacentral:rRNA from 1 species
UGGGGAAUAUUGGACAAUGGGCGCAAGCCUGAUCCAGCCAUGCCGCGUGUGUGAAGAAGGCCUUUUGGUUGUAAAGCACUUUAAGCGAGGAGGAGGCUACUUGGAUUAAUACUCUAGGAUAGUGGACGUUACUCGCAGAAUAAGCACCGGCUAACUCUGUGCUAGCAGCCGCGGUAAUACAGAGGGUGCGAGCGUUAAUCGGAUUUACUGGGCGUAAAGCGUGCGUAGGCGGCUUCUUAAGUCGGAUGUGAAAUCCCUGAGCUUAACUUAGGAAUUGCAUUCGAUACUGGGAAGCUAGAGUAUGGGAGAGGAUGGUAGAAUUCCAGGUGUAGCGGUGAAAUGCGUAGAGAUCUGGAGGAAUACCGAUGGCGAAGGCAGCCAUCUGGCCUAAUACUGACGCUGAGGUACGAAAGCAUGGGGAGCAAACAGG